rnacentral:rRNA from 1 species
GUAGGUGGCAAGCGUUGUCCGGAAUUAUUGGGCGUAAAGCGCGCGCAGGCGGUUCUUUAAGUCUGAUGUGAAAGCCCACGGCUCAACCGUGGAGGGUCAUUGGAAACUGGAGAACUUGAGUACAGAAGAGGAAAGCGGAAUUCCACGUGUAGCGGUGAAAUGCGUAGAGAUGUGGAGGAACACCAGUGGCGAAGGCGGCUUUCUGGUCUGUAACUGACGCUGAGGCGCGAAAGCGUGGGGAGCAAACAGGAUUAGAUACCCUGGUAGUCCACGCCGUAAACGAUGAGUGCUAAGUGUUAGGGGGUUUCCGCCCCCCUUAGUGCUGCAGCUAACGCAUUAAGCACUCCGCCUGGGUAGUACGGCCCGCAAGGCUG